rnacentral:rRNA from 1 species
ACGAACGCUGGCGGCUUGCUUAACACAUGCAAGUCGAACGGAAAGGCCCUGCUUUUGUGGGGUGCUCGAGUGGCGAACGGGUGAGUAACACGUGAGUAACCUGCCCUUGACUUUGGGAUAACUUCAGGAAACUGGGGCUAAUACCGGAUAGGAGCUCCUGCUGCAUGGUGGGGGUUGGAAAGUUUCGGCGGUUGGGGAUGGACUCGCGGCUUAUCAGCUUGUUGGUGGGGUAGUGGCUUACCAAGGCUUUGACGGGUAGCCGGCCUGAGAGGGUGACCGGCCACAUUGGGACUGAGAUACGGCCCAGACUCCUACGGGAGGCAGCAGUGGGGAAUAUUGCACAAUGGGCGGAAGCCUGAUGCAGCAACGCCGCGUGCGGGAUGACGGCCUUCGGGUUGUAAACCGCUUUCGCCUGUGACGAAGCGUGAGUGACGGUAAUGGGGAAAGAAGCACCGGCUACUACGUG